GCAGUCCGCCCCGGGCGUCUACCUCCUGCAGCCCCACAUGCACGAGCUGAGCAGCAAAGGAGACUCUGUCAGCGUCACCUGCCUGGUGCGGGGCUUCUUCCCCGAGGACAUCUCGGUGCAGUGGAUGAAGAACCAUGAUGGUGAAAAGGAGACCGACUACAUCACCACCCCGCCCAUGAAGGAUGGAGCCAGUGACUCGAACUUCUUCCUUUACAGCAAGCUGAAAGUCAGCAAGGCCAGCUGGAACAGCGGGGACACCUACACCUGCAUGGUCAGCCACCAAGCCCUCUCCAUGAAGUUCACCCAACGCAGCGUCAGCAAAGUCUCUGAGGUGAUCGUGUCAGGUGAGUUUUGCAGCGAGGACGAGGAUGAGGAGCUGGAUGGACUCUGGUCAAGCAUCUCGGUCUUCAUCACCCUCUUCCUCUUGAGCGUGUGCUACAGCGCAACCGUGACCCUGUUCAAGGUGAAGUGGUUUUUCUCCACCCUAGUGCAGCUGAAGAAGGCGAGUGGCCCCGAGUACAAGAACGUGAUCCAGCGCGUGGUGUAGAAGCUGCUGCCCCCAUCUGCCCCGAGACAAGGGUUCGGGGCUCCUGGCUCCAUUGGCGACAACGCCCUGAGUCCCACAGCUGCCCCCCGCCAGCGCUGUGCCCCUGGCAGACCCCUCGGGGGGGAGACAGGACCUCACUCCACAUGGCCUAAUCAGCCCUCAGCCACUAGGGAUGCUGCCCUGCUCGGAGCUUGGCUGAGACCGGACAACUCCUAUCCUGCAGGGAACCAGCGCCCCUAGCGAGGAAACAACCCUUCUCCCACUUCCCACCCUCCUGAGCCCAACAGUCCCUGCUCUGGGGCUGGGUCAGAGCCAGCGCUUCUAGAGGGGAAAGGCCUCACUUCCCUUCCCCACCCCCUGUGCCAGCCAGCCCCCCGCCCUGGGGCAGGACCAUAGCCAGAGUUGUGUCUCUCAUGCUGUAUGUUGCAUAUUUAGCUCUUCAUUGGGAUUUUUGUGGGUGGUGUGUGUGUGUGUGACUUUUGUUGUGUGCACUGAGUGACAAUAAAUAAAUAAAUAAA